CUCAAUGGGGGUGGAGCUUCUGAAUGUAGCCGGUUCAGUUCAACAGUGGGCAGCGCUGCGUUACUGUCCGGGCUUUGGGGAGGGAGUCUACAGUAGGGUACCACAUCUGGAUUGCUGAGAGGUCCUAUUUUGUGAUACAUUUUUGAUCUUCCUUGCAGACAUGUCCUGAUACUUAUUUUGGCUUUGCAAAACAGGAUUUCUCUAUGGUGCCUUGGCUGGUCGGGAACUCACUCAGUAGUCCAGGCUGGCCCCAAACUCCCUACAGAUCCACCUGCCUCUGCCUCUCUCCCAGGUCCUGGGAUUAAAGGUGAUCGCCACCACAGCCUACCCAGCUUUAUGCCCUGAUAUUAAAGAGUUUUCCUGAGUGCUGCUUCACAACUGCCUUCAGGCCAAAAAUAUUUAUGUUAAAAGAGACAUAUUUUGGGAUGAUAUAUUCUGGUUUCCUUCACAACUACUGAAGAAUUACAGGCAAGAGAUGAGAAUCCUUUUAGGAUACACCUAAUGAAGAUAAAAGUUACUUCACAUAUGUUUGUACAUUAAUUAUAACCGUAACAGCUUUCUGAACAAGUGACAAGAAAUGCUGAGAAAUGCUGAGCAUUUGUUCUUCCUUCCCUUGAGGAUCUGCUCCCUCAAUAUAAGUACUAUCCAACGUCAUAUUUUCUCCUUUCAUUUAGGCUCAGGAAAAACAAAUGGGCUCAUAAUGCUUAGGGGUAAGUAGUAUUGACUGGAGACUGCAAUUUAUCACCACAACCUUUUCUACUUUCUGUUCCAAGUUGAUCUUUAUAGAAGUCCACUGGUUUCCACAGCCACUCAACUUCUCUUCAUUUGUUUGGUUAGCAGUGGAAAUGGCUAUUUUUUUUUCCUUAGAAUAUUCCUUCUUAAGAUCCUGUGUUUUUACUGUCAGCAUUUCCAAUUCCUGCUUAUGGCCAGUUAUGUCAGCAAGCAUCUGUAAUAACUUACCUUCCUUUUGUAGAAUUCAAUUUUUCUGCUUGUGGACCAGAUUUUGAUAUUUCAGAAACUUCUCCUUUAGUUUCAAAGAUGGCUUUUCUGAACCUGCUUUCUUGUAGGCAAUGCUUAGCCCUGAAUCUGAUUGGAGUGACCUCCAAAACUGUUUCUGAACCUGACACGGACCACCCCAGUCAGGUAUGGGGGUCCCUGAAAUGAGGGUCCUCGAAGAUAGGUGGGUAAGGAUUCAGCGGUGACAAACAGAAACAAACACAGAGGCAGUUUGAAUCUCAGUGUAUUUUACAGCUCUCAAGCAGGGUAUUUUAUACAUUAAAAAACCAAACAUUACAACUCUUAGAAACUGUAUCCAGUGAAACAAUCACAAGUACCAACAAAAAUCAUUUGGCACAGUAAAGUAUAAAAAUCAUCUAAGCAUUACAACUCUGAAACUAUGUAUUCAGUGAAUCACAAACAGAACAGGUAACAUCAUUAUUAAUAUAAAUCAUCAAAAUGUAACAAUUCUAAAAGGAUGUAUUCAGUGGGGGCAGUUGUACAAGGCUAGUGGCAUAUUUCCAAGAGUAGGUUAAUAAAUCUUGAUGCUCAGUGUUCUUAACAGCUGAGCUAACUUUCCAGCCCCAUAUGGUCAAUUAUUAUUUACAUCUAAUUCCUGAUUUUUUAUAAAUCUUCAAUGCAUAAAUUUAAACUAUUUUAAUUCUUUCUAAUUAAGGCUUUUUUUUAUCCAUAUACCAAACCCCACCUCCAAUGAUAUACCUGUAGCCAUAUGAAAUUUUAUUAUUGGGAAAGUUUCUAUCUACCAUAAAAGUUUUGUAAAUGAUUUUAAAAGUAAAGCAUUGGUUUCCCCUGGGAUAAGGUUAUGUUAGUGACCUCAUCUCAAGGGAUGGUUUCUUACUCACUAUUCUCGCUUAGGAUCUUGGCCUAGGCUACCAGGAACAUGUAAAUGAGAAAAGGAAUAAGAGAAAACAAAACAAAUAGAUUGCCAUGAGAACUGCGGCUCAAUAAUUUUUCUCCAGCCAAUGAGUUUCACAACUGGUUCCAGGAGGCCUCCCCCUUUUGAAGUCAAUCACUUCAGUCUGUGGAACUUGUCACACAGAUCCUACUGGAGGUAGUGUGGCAUGAACCUGUUCCAGAACUCACUUACGCUCUUUGAAGAAUGCAAGUUUAUCUUCAAUCAUUGUCCAAAAGGCUCAGGGGAUCUAAUGCUUUCUCCAGACCAGAAGCCACAGUCACCAACAGCCCACACUGCUCCACAGCUGCUAUCCCUGGAUCAAAUCUGUGAACAACUCCUGCCUCUGCCUACCUCUAACCGGCCUCGUAUUGCUGGACCAGCACACGAUCAUCACAGCAUCAAGCACAGCACCCGGAGCGAGCGAGGGAACGUAGUACCUGGUUGGAGGGAAAGAAGCUGCUGUCCUUCCCACCCCAGCGCGAGUGUGAAUGUCCAGGUUCACAGGGGGCAGUCCUACCUAGAGGCGGUGAGCAGCCAGCGAGAUCACAUCUGAGGAAGCUCUCUCGCAGAGCGCCCAGCAGCCAUGGGGCCAUGGGCCAUGCAGUUCUGAGCUACUGGAGCGUUUCUCCAGACAACUGAUGUCUCAGUAUCAACAGAGAAAAAGAUACAC